rnacentral:ncRNA from 1 species
ACAAUGGACGUAGCAAGAGGCAACAGUGGAAACCUCACAUGGCCCAGACAUGGACAGAAUUGGAAGACUGAUAGCUCUUUCUCAAUUCUGUUUGGGGUGGUGUGUGUCUAUUCUUAAUUAGUGGAGCGUUUUGUCUGGUUAAUUCUGAUAACAAACAAAACCCUGGCAUGCUAACUAGUUAUAUGACUCCUGAGUGGUUGAUUCCCCAACUUCUUAGAGGGACAAGUGGCAUUCAGCCACCAGAGAUUGAGCAAUAACAGGUCUGUGAUACCCUUAGAUGUCUGGGGCUACAUGUGCACAACACAUAAGGUAACCCGUUGAACCCCACUCGUGAUGGGGAUCAGGGAUUGCAAUUAAUCCCCAUGAAUGAGGAAUUCCCAGUACGUGCUGAUCAUAAGCUUGUGUUGAUUACGU